CACCGCGGUUAAACGAGAGGCCCUAGUUGACAAUACAACGGCGUAAAGGGUGGUUAAGAGUAAACGUAAAUAAAGUCAAAUGGCCCCUUGGCCGUCAUACGCUUCUAGGCGUCCGAAGCCCUAACACGAAAGUAACUUUAAUAACUUCGCCUGACCCCACGAAAGCUGGGAAA
rnacentral:rRNA from 1 species